CAGAUUCAAUUGCUCACAGGUGGGUGAUAGACUCAAAAUGCAGAGCAAGUAAGAAGGGAGAUUUAAAAACUAUGGAUUAUACCAUUGUUACAGCUGCAUCUUAGAAGCGAUAGACUGUAAGGAAAACAAAUGUUGUAGCGGUAAUUGACAAUGAAACUGAAGAACAUGAAGGACUGUAUGAAGUACGUAUGCCUAAGAUCAAGAUGGAGGCCUGGGGAGGCGACAAAGGGAGGAAAAAAGAAAGAGCGGGAAACAAAACAAAAGGACAGUGAUAGAGGAAGUGAGCCAGGAUUAAGAACUUUAAAUUAAUAUUUUUUCAUACAUUUCCACCAUUAUCUAUUUUAAAAGUAAUUUUGUAAAUUCUGAUUGAAUUGAUAUAUAUCUAUAAAAUAAUUUUACAGUGAA